AAAUGCAUAACUCACAGAUGGACUUAUUUCAGAGAUUGUGAAUAUAUUGCCAGGACCUCCCUGUUACUUCCUCCUUCCCAUCAGACUGGCCUCUGACCCUGGUUGGAGCUCGCCGUGUCAUUAGCGUCUGUCUGCGCACAAGGCCUGCUACGCGAGCGCAGGUGCGCACUGAAGGCUAGGAGCGGAGAAGCGGUUAUCGAAUUGGAAAACCUGAUGCACCGUGGGCGGUGGGGAAAUCUACCUUGUUCUACACAACGUCUAUUGGUCGUUUCACACCUGUGCUGAAAUACCUCUAAAACCGGCAUCAUGUAUCUGUUACUGUGCCUGAUCUUUACUCCAUGCCAUCCUGGAUUAAAUAGGCUGAAUGAUCAAUGGGAGAUUUGAACUGGGACAAGCUUACAUCUGUAUCGGACUUGUUAGAGUUUGACCAACUAUUUGUUUGCAUAACCUAUAUAAUAUAACAAAGAAGCUAUGCUAUAAUAAGUUUAUACUCUAUAUGAUAAGAGCAUA
rnacentral:lncRNA from 1 species